GACGAACGCUGGCGGCGUGCCUAAUACAUGCAAGUCGAACGCUUCUUUCCUCCCGAGUGCUUGCACUCAAUUGGAAAGAGGAGUGGCGGACGGGUGAGUAACACGUGGGUAACCUACCCAUCAGAGGGGGAUAACACUUGGAAACAGGUGCUAAUACCGCAUAACAGUUUAUGCCGCAUGGCAUAAGAGUGAAAGGCGCUUUCGGGUGUCGCUGAUGGAUGGACCCGCGGUGCAUUAGCUAGUUGGUGAGGUAACGGCUCACCAAGGCCACGAUGCAUAGCCGACCUGAGAGGGUGAUCGGCCACACUGGGACUGAGACGCGGCCCAGACUCCUACGGGAGUCAGCAGUAGGGAAUCUUCGGCAAUGGACGAAAGUCUGACCGAGCAACGCCGCGUGAGUGAAGAAGGUUUUCGGAUCGUAAAACUCUGUUGUUAGAGAAGAACAAGGACGUUAGUAACUGAACGUCCCCUGACGGUAUCUAACCAGAAAGCCACGGCUAACUACGUG
rnacentral:rRNA from 1 species